GUCUACAUCCAGGCCACCCUGAACCAGCCUGAUGUCUGAUCUCGGAAGCCAAGCAGGGUCAGGCCUGGUUAGCAUUUGGAUGGGAGACCACCUAGGAAGACCAGAUGCUGUAGGCA
rnacentral:rRNA from 1 species